GAUGAACGCUGGCGGCGUGCCUAAUACAUGCAAGUCGAGCGAACAGACGAGGAGCUUGCUCCUCUGACGUUAGCGGCGGACGGGUGAGUAACACGUGGAUAACCUACCUAUAAGACUGGGAUAACUUCGGGAAACCGGAGCUAAUACCGGAUAAUAUAUUGAACCGCAUGGUUCAAUAGUGAAAGACGGUUUUGCUGUCACUUAUAGAUGGAUCCGCGCCGCAUUAGCUAGUUGGUAAGGUAACGGCUUACCAAGGCGACGAUGCGUAGCCGACCUGAGAGGGUGAUCGGCCACACUGGAACUGAGACACGGUCAAGACUCCUACGGGAGGCAGCAGUAGGGAAUCUUCCGCAAUGGGCGAAAGCCUGACGGAGCAACGCCGCGUGAGUGAUGAAGGUCUUCGGGUCGUAAAACUCUGUUAUUAGGGAAGAACAAAUGUGUAAGUAACUAUGCACGUCUUGACGGUACCUAAUCAGAAAGCCACGGCUAACUACGUG
rnacentral:rRNA from 1 species